CGAACGCGCAACAGAAUAAUGUAAGAGUCGGUACUCGUAUUUUGCUGUCGGAGGGAGACGAGCGAUGCACGCGGAAUGAGAGGAGCGGUACACGAGAGAGGGGCGAAAAACAGCAGGAAGA
rnacentral:SRP_RNA from 11 species